rnacentral:rRNA from 1 species
UACGUAGGCAGCAAGCGUUGUUCGGAGUUACUGGGCGUAAAGGGUGUGUAGGCGGUUCUUUAAGUUUGGUGUGAAAUCUCCCGGCUCAACUGGGAGGGUGCGCCGAAUACUGAGGGACUAGAGUACGGGAGAGGAAAGUGGAAUUCCUGGUGUAGCGGUGAAAUGCGUAGAUAUCGUAAGGAAGGCCGGUGGCGAAAGCGAGCCUCUGGACAGUUACUGACGCUGAUGCACGAAGGCCAGGGGAGCAAACGGG